GCGAGCAGCCACCUGGCCAGUUUGUGACGCUGAGGCGCGAGAGCGUGGGGAGCAAACCGGAUUAGAUACCCGGGUAGUCCACGCCCUAAACGAUGCGCACUAGGUCUUUGGGUUUACUGGGGGCCGAAGCUAACGCGUUAAGUGCGCCGCCUGGGGAGUACGGCCGCAAGGCUGAAACUCAAAGGAAUUGACGGGGGCCCGCACAAGCGGUGGAGCAUGUGGUUUAAUUCGAAGCGACGCGAAGAACCUUACCAGGCCUUGACAUGCUGGGGAACCUGCCUGAAAGGGCGGGGUGCCGUAAGGAGCCCCAGCACAGGUGCUGCAUGGCCGUCGUCAGCUCGUGCCGUGAGGUGUUGGGUUAAGUCCCGCAACGAGCGCAACCCCUGCCCCUAGUUGCCAGCGGGUGAAGCCGGGGACUCUAGGGGGACUGCCCGCGAAAGCGGGAGGAAGGCGGGGACGACGUCUGGUCAGCAUGGCCCUUACGGCCUGGGCGACACACGUGCUACAGUGCCCACUACAGAGCGAGGCGACCGGGCGACCGGGGGCGAAUCGCAAAAAGGUGGGCGUAGUUCGGAUUGCAGUCUGCAACUCGACUGCAUGGAGUCGGAAUCGCUAGUAAUCGCGGAUCAGCCAUGCCGCGGUGAAUACGUUCCCGGGCCUUGUACACACCGCCCGUCACGCCAUGGGAGCGGGUUCUACCCGAAGUCGCCGGGAGCCUGAGGGCAGGCGCCGAGGGUAGGGCUCGUGACUGGGGCGAAGUCGUAACAAGGUAACCAAGCCUUAGACGUAA
rnacentral:rRNA from 1 species